GACGAACGCUGGCGGCGUGCCUAAUACAUGCAAGUCGAACGAACUCUGGUUUUUGAUUGACGGUGCUUGCACCUGAUUGAUUAAACAUUUGAGUGAGUGGCGAACUGGUGAGUAACACGUAGGAAACCUGCCCAGAAGCGGGGGGAUAACACCUGGAAACAGAUGCUAAUACCGCAUAACAACUUGAACCGCAUGGUUCGAGUUUGAAAGAUGGCUCUGCUAUCACUUCUGGAUGGUCCUGCGACGUAUUAGCUAGAUGGUGAGGUAACGGCUCACCAUGGCAAUGAUACGUAGCCGAACUGAGAGGGUAAUCGGCCACAUUGGGACUGAGACACGGCCCAAACUCCUACGGGAGGCAGCAGUAGGGAAUCUUCCACAAUGGACGAAAGUCUGAUGGAGCAACGCCGCGUGAGUGAAGAAGGGUUUCGGCUCGUAAAACUCUGUUGUUAGAGAAGAACAUAUCUGAGAGUAACUGUUCAGGUAUUGACGGUAUCUAACCAGAAAGCCACGGCUAACUACGUGCCAGCAGCCGCGGUAA
rnacentral:rRNA from 1 species